rnacentral:rRNA from 1 species
UACGUAGGGCGCGAGCGUUGUCCGGAAUCAUUGGGCGUAAAGAGCUUGUAGGCGGUUUGUCGCGUCUGCCGUGAAAAUCCGGGGCUCAACCCCGGACUUGCGGUGGGUACGGGCAGACUAGAGUGUGGUAGGGGAGACUGGAAUUCCUGGUGUAGCGGUGAAAUGCGCAGAUAUCAGGAGGAACACCGAUGGCGAAGGCAGGUCUCUGGGCCACUACUGACGCUGAGAAGCGAAAGCGUGGGGAGCGAACAGG